rnacentral:rRNA from 1 species
GGGUGCGGAGCUUACCAUGCAAGUCGAGGGGCAGCACGGGUAGCAAUACUUGGUGGCGACCGGCGCAAGGGUGCGUAACGCGUGAGCAACAUGCCCGUAUCAGGGGGAUAAUCCAGGGAAACUUGGUCUAAUACCCCAUAGUAAUUUCGUAAGGCAUCUUAUGGGAUUUAAAGCUUUGGUGGAUACGGAUUGGCUCGCGUGACAUUAGCUAGAUGGUAAGGUAACGGCUUACCAUGGCUAUGAUGUCUAGGGGUUCUGAGAGGAAGGUCCCCCACACUGGAACUGAGACACGGUCCAGACUCCUACGGGAGGCAGCAGUGAGGAAUAUUGGACAAUGGAUGGAAAUCUGAUCCAGCCAUGCCGCGUGAAGGAAGAAUGUCCUAUGGAUUGUAAACUUCUUUUGUAUGGGAGCAAUAAGGUCUUCGUGAAGACUGAUGAGAGUACCAUACGAAUAAGCAUCGGCUAACUCCGUGCCAGCAGCCGCGGUAAUACGGAGGAUGCGAGCGUUAUCCGGAUUUAUUGGGUUUAAAGGGUGCGUAGGCUGUUAUAUAAGUCAGUGGUGAAAUAUUCGGGCUCAACCGGGAUACUGCCAUUGAUACUGUAUAGCUGGAAUAUGGUUGCUGUGGGUGGAAUGUGUGGUGUAGCGGUGAAAUGCAUAGAUAUCACACAGAAUAUCGAUUGCGAAGGCAACUCACAAAGCCAUUAUUGACGCUGAUGCACGAAAGUGUGGGGAUCAAACAGGAUUAGAUACCCUGGUAGUCCACACUGUAAACGAUGAUAACUAGCUGUCGGCGAUAGAUAGUCGGUGGCUAAGCGAAAG